rnacentral:snRNA from 1 species
UGAUGAAGAAAGAUAGCAAAGAUGG